rnacentral:rRNA from 1 species
UGGGGAAUCUUGGACAAUGGGCGCAAGCCUGAUCCAGCCAUGCCGCGUGAGUGAAGAAGGUCCUAGGAUCGUAAAGCUCUUUCGCCAGGGAUGAUAAUGACAGUACCUGGUAAAGAAACCCCGGCUAACUCCGUGCCAGCAGCCGCGGUAAUACGGAGGGGGUUAGCGUUGUUCGGAAUUACUGGGCGUAAAGCGCGCGUAGGCGGAUUGGAAAGUUGGGGGUGAAAUCCCAGGGCUCAACCCUGGAACUGCCUCCAAAACUCCCAGUCUUGAGUGCGAGAGAGGUGAGUGGAACUCCGAGUGUAGAGGUGAAAUUCGUAGAUAUUCGGAAGAACACCAGUGGCGAAGGCGGCUCACUGGCUCGAUACUGACGCUGAGGUGCGAAAGUGUGGGGAGCAAACA